rnacentral:rRNA from 1 species
CCUAACGGGAGGCAGCAGUGAGGAAUAUUGGUCAAUGGUCGGAAGACUGAACCAGCCAUGCCGCGUGCAGGAAGACGGCCCUAUGGGUUGUAAACUGCUUUUAUAUGGGAAGAAACAAACUUACGUGUAAGUUCCUGACGGUACCAUAUGAAUAAGCACCGGCUAACUCCGUGCCAGCAGCCGCGGUAAUACGGAGGGUGCAAGCGUUAUCCGGAUUUAUUGGGUUUAAAGGGUCCGUAGGCGGACCUAUAAGUCAGUGGUGAAAUCCUGCAGCUCAACUGUAGAACUGCCAUUGAUACUGUAGGUCUUGAAUUCGGUUGAUGUGGGCGGAAUAUGGCAUGUAGCGGUGAAAUGCUUAGAUAUGCCAUAGAACACCGAUUGCGAAGGCAGCUCACAAAGCCUGGAUUGACGCUGAGGGACGAAAGCGUGGGGGAGCGGAACAGGAUUAGAUACCCUGGUAGUCCACGACGUAACGAUGAUCACUCGACAUAGCGAUAUACGGUUAGUUGUCACAAGACGAAAGUAAUUAAGUUAGAUCCACCGUCGGGGAGGGUACGGACCCGCCGAAGGUUAGAAACGUACGAAACGGAAAGUUAGGUACGGCGUGAGACGUACGCCGAACGGACGACCGACCGAGGGGAGGGUUAGGGGAG